GCCUGGUUGGCUCAGUCAGUUGAGCAUCUGACUUCAGCUCAGGUCAUGAUCUCAGUCCAUGAGUUCAAACCCCUCACUGGGCU
rnacentral:tRNA from 1 species